rnacentral:rRNA from 1 species
GAUGGACGCUGACAGAAUGCUUAACACAUGCAAGUCGACUCGAGUCUUCGGACUUGGGUGGCGCACGGGUGAGUAACGCGUAAAGAACUUGCCUCUUAGACCGGGACAACAUCUGGAAACGGAUGCUAAUACCGGAUAUUAUGGUUUUUUCGCAUGGAGGAAUCAUGAAAGCUGGAUGCGCUAAGAGAGAGCUUUGCGUCCCAUUAGCUAGUUGGUGAGGUAACGGCCCACCAAGGCAAUGAUGGGUAGCCGGCCUGAGAGGGUGAACGGCCACAAGGGGACUGAGACACGGCCCUUACUCCUACGGGAGGCAGCAGUGGGGAAUAUUGGACAAUGGACCGCAAGUCUGAUCCAGCAAUUCUGUGUGCACGAUGACGUUUUUCGGAAUGUAAAGUGCUUUCAGUCGGGAAGAAGUCAGUGACGGUACCGACAGAAGAAGCGACGGCUAAAUACGUGCCAGCAGCCGCGGUAAUACGUAUGUCGCAAGCGUUAUCCGGAUUUAUUGGGCGUAAAGCGCGUCUAGGCGGCAAGGAAAAGUCUGAUGUGAAAAUGCGGAGCUCAACUCCGUAUGGCGUUGGAAACUGCCUUACUAGAGUACUGGAGAGGUAGGCGGAACUACAAGUGUAGAGGUGAAAUUCGUAGAUAUUUGUAGGAAUGCCGAUGGGGAAGCCAGCCUACUGGACAGAUACUUGACGCUUAAGCGCGAAUGCGUGGGUAGCAUAAAGG